GGUUCCAGAGUGUAGCGGUUAGCACAUCUGCUUUACACGCAGAAGAUCCUGGGUUCGUGCCCCAGUGGAGCCA
rfam:Pteropus alecto contig105673, whole genome shotgun sequence.